AGUGAACGCUGGCGGUAGGCCUAACACAUGCAAGUCGAACGGCAGCACAGUAAGAGCUUGCUCUUACGGGUGGCGAGUGGCGGACGGGUGAGGAAUACAUCGGAAUCUACUUUUUCGUGGGGGAUAACGUAGGGAAACUUACGCUAAUACCGCAUACGACCUACGGGUGAAAGCAGGGGAUCUUCGGACCUUGCGCGAUUGAAUGAGCCGAUGUCGGAUUAGCUAGUUGGCGGGGUAAAGGCCCACCAAGGCGACGAUCCGUAGCUGGUCUGAGAGGAUGAUCAGCCACACUGGAACUGAGACACGGUCCAGACUCCUACGGGAGGCAGCAGUGGGGAAUAUCGGACAAUGGGCGCAAGCCUGAUCCAACCAUACCGCGUGGGUGAAGAAGGCCUUCGGGUUGUAAAGCCCUUUUGUUGGGAAAGAAAAGCAGCAGGUUAAUACCCCGCUGUUCUGACGGUACCCAAAGAAUAAGCACCGGCUAACUUCGUG
rnacentral:rRNA from 1 species